CAGUUAUUAUGUGCUAGACAUUGCUCUGAGCACAUGUCACAUAUUAUCUCAUUUAGUCCUUUAAGGACUACACAGUAAAGUACCAUGAUUAUUCCCAUUUCACAGAUGAGGAAAAACGGAACUCAGAGAGGUUAAGUAACUUGCUCAAAUCACACACCUAGAAAGUUGUAGUGCAGGUGCUGGACCCAGGCAAUCUGACUGCAGAGGCGGAAAUCUCAACAACUACACUACAAGGUGGUUUAGGGAAACACUAACAACAGCACUGUAAAUUGUAUGCUGCAUUAAUGGACCUGACUAAGGCAUUUGAUCCACUAAAUUGGGUUCAAAUGCAGAAACAAUACAAAGGAUUGAGUGUCUAGAAAAAUUGGUUAACAUUUCUUUCCUUCACAAGGGAAUUUCAGUUUGAGUCGUAGAUGUUAAACAUGCAGAGUAUGAUGAAGUCAUACUAAACAAGACGAUGUUCUCUUACCAGGACAUUCUUUAUUUUACAGAUUUCAGCAGAAUGCUUAGCGAGUCCCCACUGAUUAGUUUUCCCCAAAUGGUUAAUAUCCAAAAGAAUGGGGUUUUAGUUCUAUAGACGCAGAAAUUGAUAAGAAGUUCUUAAGUCUUAGGGAGUGAGGUGCUGGUGGUCACUUUCCAUCUGCCAGACCCUGGGCCACUCAGCAGAGAUCAGUCACAAAGAAGCCACUGGUGACCCCCAGCAACCUUCAAGAUUCAGUAACUGUCAGUGAGAUUAAGUCAGAUAAGAACCUGUUCUAUGUGUAAUGCUUUGAUUUUAAAAGAAAGUGCUGACAGCUGCUAUUUGAGAUCUUUCCUAUAUGUAAGUGAUUGGGCAAUUUUGUGGCUUAUAAUUAGAACAAUGCAUGACAAUGUCUAGAUUGGGCUGCAAGGUCACUCUUCUCUUCAGUCUGUCAGUGCCAAAAGAAACAAAAGGUCAUCUUCUGAGGCUCCAGGACAGCACUCAUUACCUGCCAAG
rnacentral:lncRNA from 1 species